rnacentral:lncRNA from 1 species
GUAGGGCAUUAGCCAUUAGCUAGGGCCACCUAAGUAUGGUUCUUUAUACUUUCUCCCUUCCAUUUCGCCGCUCUUUGUUGCUUGUUUUUGCUAGUAGCAGCCUCUCCUCCAUUUGUUUGUACUCUUCGGCUCUUCACUUCCAUCUUUCUCUUCUUCUUCCUCUUCUUGUUCCUCCUCGUGUAGCCUAUCUGUGGUCCGGAUCGAGUUGUUUCCCCUGCACAGACAACCGACCGACCGCGAGCUACCGGCCGAUCGAUCAACAUGUACUAGUGGUAAUCUCUAUUUAUAUAUCUAUAUAUAUUGUUGUCUUGUCUCAUCUACUGUCAUCAGGCUGGCAUAUCUUGAUUACCGUCCCUGAAGCUUGUUUAAUCCCAUCUAAUCCCUCGUCGUGACGCGCCGCGACGCCUUGUUAAGCAUGCCGUAGAGCUAGUACUUUAUUAGGGGACAGUAACAGCCAAACGGCAGCGUCUCUGUCGCGGACGCCUGCCAGUGUUGGCGAGGACAGCGGACUGCUAGUAUGCUACUGCGACGACGCAAACAAUUUGUUCUGGCACGUCGUAACGUGCUGCGGCCAGAAUUGGCACCCACCAGUAUAAAGGUGACCGGGGCCGUCGGACUAAGCGCCUGCCAGCAUAGAUGGGAUGCAUCUGUGCUGACGGGUGUGUUAGGUGGCCUGCCAGCACAGAUGCUGCCCAGAGAAAGCCGCAGACAGCUUCUUACCUAGCCAACAUUCUAUUCGUAGCUUGCCCGAGAGGAGUUCGGGAAAAUUUCCAAAAAUACCAAAUCUAAAGGGGAAUGUUUUGCUCUUGUUUUCUUUGGAGGAGAUGACUAUAAAAGGUAAGUUUGUGCCAUUCCAACCUUCUUUUUCAACUUCUAUCCAUUCUAACUUCAUUAGGUUGUCAUCUAGAUCUAAAUCUAGACCUAGAAGAGAGAGGAGGGAAGAGAGAGAAAAUAAUUAGAGAUAGAUUAUUUUUUUAAAUAAAAUUCUAUGGUCACAUUAUAACCAUUAAAAUGCUAUGUUUGUCAUUUUAAUAUAAUAUAGAAUUGAGUUUGAUUAUAUUUUUUCUACUUAUUAAUUAUUAGAUCCAUAGUUUUAAUUAAUGAGGUUGAUUGAAUUUAAUAUAAUUGAGUUUGAUUUUUCCUUCUACUUAUUAAUUAUUACAUCCAUGGUUUAAUUGAGUUUCAUUUAGGGUAAUAUAGAAUUGAUUUUGAUUAUAUUUCUGUACUACAUCCAUAAUUUAACUGAGUUUAUAGAAUUGAGUUUAAUUCAGUUAUUAAUUAUUGCGACCCGUAGCUCAUUAAAUUAGUUAAUAUGACAUAGAAUUGUUAUCAUAGGUUGUUAAAGAUGGAUCAUAGAGUAUAGAUGUAUGGCAUACGGAGACAUUUGCAUACAUUCAGUUAGAGGUAUCAAAGUUUGUCGAGGUUGCAGAGAAGCAUGCUCGCACUUGCAAGACAAAGCAAAUACGUUGUCCGUGUUUUGACUGUAGCAACAAUAUUGUUUGGGAGUAUACUAAUGUCAUCAAGAGGCAUUUGAUAAAGCGAGGUUUUGUGGAUGGAUACACAAUUUGGUCCCACCAUGGUGAGGCAGGAGGUACUUUCAACAACACAGACAUCGAUAUUGGCUCUGAUGAAGUGGGUGGUGAUGAUACAAACGAAAAUGAUCAUGUUAUGAUGGAUAAUGAUUAUGACCAUGGAGAUCAAAAUGGUGAUCAAACAGAUGCGCGUGUGUAACCACAGGUAGACGAGAAACGUGAUGUUGAUAUGGAGGAUAUGUUGCGCCACAUUGAACCGGAAGUGUUGCUAGGGAGUGCUAAAGGGUUAGAGAAUUUCGAGACACUCAAGAAGGCAACAAAGGACCGUAUGUAUGAAGGAUGUGGGAAGGAGUGGACAGUGUUGCGUUUCGUCCUUCUUCUUCUGAUCUUGAAGGCUAAAUUCGACUAGUCAGACAAUAGUUUCAAUGAUCUCCUUACUCUGUUGGGCAAGUUGCUCCCGAAGCCUAACUUUGUGCCAAAAAACACAUAUGAAGCAAAGAAGAUUAUCAAUCCAUUUAAGAUGCGUGUGCAAAGAAUACACGCAUGCAGGAACCACUACAUAUUGUACCGUGGUGAGUACACAACAUUGGAAAAGUGUCCAAAUUGCGAUGCUAGCCAUUACAAAAGUAAUGCCAAUUUCUAUGAGGACCGUGCUGGUUCCUCCAUUGGGAAUAAGAGGAAGAAGGGUACAAAGAAAAGUGCUGGUGCUCAAGUGGAGAACGAGUCCUGUAUAGGUACUGACACGACGACUCAGCCAGAGUCACUGCCUUGGUGAUGUGGUACUUGCCGGUGGCGGACUGUCGGGGCUAAAUCCCCAGUAUCCGCAAGGAAGGAAGAAAACGGACUCCUAUUAGGAUUCCUCUAUAAUCCUACUAGGACUCAUACCAUAUAAUCCUACUAGGACUCCUAUCUUAUAACUGACUAGUAAUCCCACCCCCUGAGUAUAUAAAGGAGGGCAGGCAUCCCUAAAUCGGUAGGCGAAGGCCUCAUAGAACCACAACAGAGGACCAAAUCCUCAACACUAAACAACACCCAAGUGCGGGACGCAAUAUGCAACACCCCAAAUAGGACGUAGGGUAUUAUACUACUCCGGCGGCCCGAACCUGUAUAAAUCCAUGUCUUGUGUCCUCACUUUUACCUUCGAGUUUCAGGUCCGGUGAUCCCCCACCAACCAAUCUACUACCUCGAGAUACCCCUUGGUAGGUUGCUGGGUAUAAAACACCGACAUGGACCAUCUGAAGCGUUUGUUCUCAAACCCAAAGAUCGCUGAACUGAUGACUUGGCAUGCUGAUCACCCAAUAAAGGCUGACAGAAAGCUUUGACAUCCUUCUAAUGCUCGUCAUUGGAGGACCUUUGAUGCCAAUUAUCAAGAUUUUUCAGAUGAAAAAAGGAAUGUAUGGUUCGUGUUGAGUAUAGACGGUAUGAAUCCAUUUUGUGAAAGAAGCAGCAUGCACAACACAUGGCCAAUGCUGAUGACCAUAUACAACCUUUCCCCAUGGCUAUAUCACAAGAGAAAGUUACUUUUGCUAAUCAUUCUUAUACAAGGCCCGAAGUAACCUAGCAUCGACAUAGAAGUUUUCCUUGAUCCAUUGAUGGAAGAUAUGCAGAAGCUUUUGGAAGAUUUGGUUCGGAUGUGGGAUGAGUACAGACAGGAGCACUUCACACUAAGGGCUAUUAUCUUUGUUACCAUCAAUGAUUAUCCCACACUAUUUGCCCUGACAAGUCAAGUAAAACAUAAGACAACAUACGUAGUUUGCUUGGAUGGAACAUCAUAUGUGUAUCUUAAGGGAUAUAUGAAGACAAUGUUCAUGCGGCACAAGCGCUUCUUAUUGAAGAUGCACAAAUACCGUAGGAUGAAGGACUUUUUCGAUAGGACCAAUGAGAAUGAUUUUGCUGCAAAAUAGGCUACAGAUAAAAUAGUAUUUGAAAUGUGCAAGAAGGUCAAGUUCAAACUCAAUAAAAAGUCAUUAGGUGGUGCUGAUAAUUCAAAAAGGGGCAGGAAGCAGGAUGAAACUACAAACGUUGUACACAUGCCAUUUAAGAAGAUGCCAAUCUUCUUUAAGUAUUUGCCAUACUAGCGAGAGCUGGCAGUGUGCCAUGCAUUGAUGGGAUGCAUCUUUAGAAUAAUGUGUUCGAUAGCACCAUCGGAUUCUUGGGCUUAUCAGGCAAGGUAAAGGACGGACUAAAAUCACGUAAGGAUCUGAUUGACCUUCAAAUCAGGGCAGAGCUCUACCCGCAAGAACUUCCUAAUGGUAAGCAAUACCUUCCCCCAGCUAGCUACAACUUAACACCAGAUGAGAGAUUAGCUAUGUGCAAGUGCUUGCAUGGGUUGAAAGUGCCGAUCGGAUUCUCAUCCAACAUCCGGUCACUAGUCUCAUUGAAGGACAUGACGCUUGCCGGCUAUAACUAUCAUGAUUGCCAUGUGAUGAUCACAAUUUUUCUCGCUAUAGCGAUCCGGGCUAUCAAACCAAUAUUCAUUAAGAUGGUUAUCACACGGAUGUGUUACUUCUUCAACAUGAUUUCGUAGAAAGUGAUCGAUUGUGUCGAGUUGGCUAGGCUUCAGCUGUUUGUGUCUGAAACUCAAGCCCAUCUUGAAAUGUGCUUCCCUCCGUCCUUUUUCGAUAUCAUGGAACGUCUCAUGGUCCACAUGGUCCAGCAAAUAAAUGAACUAGGGCCUAUGUACUUCCAUUAGAUGUGGACAUACGAACGGUUUAUGUCGACUCUCAAUGGAUACAUGAGAAACUAGACCUUUUCAGAGGGCAGCAUGAUUGAGAGCUACCAUACAGAAGAGAUUGCUGCAUAGAUUACAUAAAAGAUAAGAGAGUUAUUGGUUUACUGGAAUCUCGACACGAGGGGAGAUUGUCCGGGAGAGGUACCAUUGGAAUGAAAAGAUUCAUCGACAAGGGUAACGAACAAUUGGAGAAAGCGCAUUCAAGCAUUCUACAACAGCUCGCAAUAGUAGAGCCCUUCAUAGAGCAACACCUAAAUGAGAUCCGUGGAGAAAGUGAUGGUCCAUCAGAGGAUUGAAUCAUUAAAGAGCAAAAGCGUCGUUUCCCAUCAUGGUUGAAGGACUAUGAGCAGCUAUUUGAAGGAAAUUCCACAAACGAAGUAACAUUGACCAUGUUGGCGUCUGGCCCAUCAAGCAAUGUCACCUCAUGGAAAGCAUACAAAAUUAAUGGAUACACAUUUUAUACCACCACAAAGACAACAAAAGCGUGGCAUACCAAAAUAAUGUUGUUCGCAUAGAGGCGAUUGAUACAUCCGGGCAGAACAUAACUUACUACAGUUUCAUAGAGGAAAUAUGGGAACUUGAAUAUGGAGAGAAUAUUUGGAUCCUCGUCUUUCGGUGCCAAUGGGUCAAACACCCAAAUUGCGUUACAGAUGAAAACUAUGAGUUGACGCUUGUAGACCUAACCAAUGUAGGUUACAAAGAUGACCCAUGGGUACUCGCUGAGCAUGUCGCACAUGUAUUCUACAUAAUCGACCCUAUGAAUGCAAAGAAGCACAUUGCCGUCUCUGGAAAACAAAGGAUCCUUGGAGUUGAAGGUGUAGUGGACAUUGAGGAUUACAAUCAGUAUGAGAAAUUAGACCUGUUCAAAGACCAUGAAUGAAGAAUCAAGCGUGUUGAAGCAAGCAUUGAUAAAUCCAUGUAGCUAUGGUUACGUAGUGACUAUGAAGGAAGAAUCGUAAAAGGAUAAAUUAACAUUUCUUAUUAGCUAUGUUGUAAGACUUAUUAAUUAUCUUGUAAGACUUUAUUAAUGUGGAUUAGACUUUAUUAUCUUGUAACUAACCGCCAGCAUAAGAAAAGGGUAGGGGUACAUCCAUGCCACAAUACAAUAUAACUAGUUCUGACAAUAAUGCAAGUUUGUAUAUUAAUACAUAAGGUCUUAGAGACAACAAGUUCAAAUCCAUAAGAAAAGGGUAGGGAUACAUCCAUGCAUGUUACACAUUUCAUGCUCCGUGUCGCUUCCUUAGAUAUGGAACAUAGUUAAGAUCUCCAAUCGUCUAGCCUAGAGCUUCAUCAAAAAAGGUUAGAGCACGGAUGAGUGCACUCUCCUUCAUUUCACAUUGGCAAUCACAUGGACGACCAUAAAUCUCGAACAAUGGAGAGGUCAACUAUUGUGGCCUGUAGAAAGUGAUAUGAGCCUGGAACUGGAACUUCCCAUCUCUGGUGAAUAUCGGGUUUCCACCCAAGUAAGUGAAAUCCAACUUAUCCAAGACUUGAGCAAGAAUCGCACGAAAGCUAAUUGCCAUAUUGGUAGUACCAAAGAGAUCCUAAAUGAUGAUAAUAACGUGAUGAAAGUUAAAAUCUGUAUAUAACUAAAGUUAAAAGAAUGAUAAAUUUUUUUCCAUACCAUGUCAUGUUGAUUAAGCCGACAAAGCCUCUUAGUCGUCAAAAUUACAUUGCUUUUUUCCUCCUCGAGCUACUUUAUUCGAAAAUAUGAGAAGUCUAGCACAAAGUACCCAUGAUCCUUAAGCUGCUGUAGGCAGGCCUCCAUGGCAGUCCUUUCAAAAGUUACCCUAUUUGGUACUAUUUGACCCAUUGCGGCAAUUGAAACCAUCGGGAUGGACUCUCCUGGUGACUUCGAGGUGAAAUCUGUUUCUCGAACAGGUACUUGAAAAGAGAUGUGUACUCUUUUAAAAUGACGUUCAACAACAACCUUGGUUUGCACUACAGGAGAAGUACCACCUAAAUCUUCGAUAACAUCUUUGAGCCAUCUAAUUGGGUUGAUAAGCUACAUUGUAUGUAAGUAAAUUUAGAAAUUAUUCUGUUGACGCCAGAUUUUGACACGUGUAAAAUCGGCAUUAGGGAAGGAAGAAAUCAGAAGAUGCGGCGAGACACAGGGGUGACGGUUGGAAAUCGGCUGAUUGGUGCUACAGUCGAGGAUCGGCCGAUUAGCCUUUGGAGUUCCGCCUCGCCCGACUCCAAGUCCUGGGAUCGGAUGCGCCCGACCCUCCGAGGGAGGAUCUCCACCUCGCUCGACCUUAGGUCCCAGGGUCGGAGUAGUCGGAGCCCCCGACAUGUGGGCCCUAAUCGGCUAUCCCUUGCCGAUGAAGUGGGUAGAAAUCGGCCGAUUGGGAGGCUGGAGCGAUUGGGCCGGUAUGGGCUUAAAGAAGAUUAUGAAGAUAAAGAGGGAGUCAGCCCAUGAGAGCAUGAUGAUCGACUCCAGUACGAAUCGUACUUGUAAAUAUUCGUUUUCGUUUAAAAUCGUAUUUGUAACAGGCUAUAAAUAGCCACCUUCAUAGAUCUGUAAUCAUCAUCAAAUCAAUACAACAAACUACUAUUUCCUCGUACUUACUUUCGAGCCGGCGACUUCGCCAAUACUUUUCUUCUUUUUCACGAGUUCGUAUGGGUUGGCGGGGCUGCAUCAACUUGACCUCCGGCCGAUCUUGUAAGUUCCGCUUAUCGAAUAGUUUCUAAGCUUUAACUUCGGGCGCAUCGCUGUCGUUUCGUUUAGAUUUAUUCACCAGUUAUCGAUAUUCACUAGAAUUCUAGGUUUUACCUGUUGUUCUAGUUUUAUCACCAGUUAUCCAGCUAGGAAUUGGAACCUUCGGCUUUCCUGUACUUUGUUAUUUAAUCUAUUCGUUUUACGCAUAGCCGAUUAGAUCUGUUCCUAGUGUCGUUACUGUAGCGUUGUUUAGAUUACUCCAGCAGUCUUCUUUAUUAACGUUGCUCGGUAAUCGGCUGCAUUAUAGCCGAUUUCUUUAUUACAGCAAAUCGGCCGAUUCGCUGAUAAGCUAUCUCGAGAUCGGAACCUUAGCCGAUCGCAACCUCUGGGAUCUGACACGUUUCUUUCCUUGCCAAUCAACAGGUCAGAUUGGCUGGCACGCCACGCGAACCGCACCAGGGCGAUCACCCGAACAGGAGUUAAGCAGAUUCUCCCGGGUCGUGUGUCCAACGCUAGGAAUUCGAUCAGCCGAUUUCUAGCGCUAACACACUUUUGGCACGCUCGGUGGGACCAAUACAACCGCCACUAUGUCAAAAGCUGCUGAAGUAUCAGAAGACAACGUCAUCGAAGUGACGGAAGUAGACCUCAGGGACGACCAAAAGGAAGAAUUGGAGAAACAGAUGGCAUACUACCAGAAGACGUGUCUGCAAUCCUUCAGUCGUACCAGGAGCGGGGAAACCAUCAAAAAGACUCCGUUUCCGACUCCCUGCCAGAUCACAAUCACCGAGGACUCGGACAAGAUAUCUAAGAUGGUUCAACAAUCUGUCUAUCAAGCUUUCAUUGAUCAAUCCCCGGUGAUUUCUAAUACGGUAUACAAUGCCGUCAUCAGCUCCUUGGCCAACGGCGUAUCCCAAGGGUACCAGGGGCCGGCAUAUGCUCCACCUAUUACGGCCCCGACCAGGAGUUAUUCAAGUGCACCUUAUUCGGCUCCUCAGCCGAUCCAAAUUCCAAUUGGAGGUCCCAGCGCUUCCUCAUCAUCAAUCCCUCUAGGGCCUCACAGCGCGCCAUAUCUCCGGCCGCAUCCCGUUCAGUUGUCCUGCGCGCAGUUUCCUCCUUUGAAUUCAGCGCCUUGGGGGGCACCAUCAGUGACGGCCGUCCAGGAUCAAUCGGCCAGCCAUGGAAGUCCUCAACUCCAGGCAUCUUUCCAAUCGGCCAUUAGGCCGACGAUGCCACAGUAUCAGCCCGUCACGCCGAAGAUGAGCAGGGGGGCAGAAGCAACGGAAGUACUUCGGGGCGUUGCGCCGCUCGUACUAUAUGACGAAGCGUCCAAUUCAUUCAAACAGCCGACCCCGACCACGCAGCCGGCUAUGACACAUCAGGCGCCGCACGCUUUCGCCCAUCACCCGGUCAUCCCGCCGCCAGUGUACCAACACGUGCCGGUUCCCCAGCCGAUAGUCCAUCAGCAACAGCUAGAUUGGACGGCACGCAUAGCGGAGGUGAUUCAAGAGCUAUUCGGUUUAAAACCGAAGAUGCAGACCUACACAUACAAGACACCAUACCCGCCUACAUAUGACUUACUGCUGUUUCCCCAUCGGUACAAAGUUCCCGAUUUCACCAAGUUUUCGGGGCUGGAUGACACCUCAACUGUGGAACACGUGAACAGAUUCAUCAUCCAAUGCGGGGAAGCAGCGGCGCAAGAUGCUCUACGGGUGCACCUUUUCUCAUCAUCCCUGUUUGGGUCAGCCUUCGAAUGGUUCACUACAUUACCGCCCAACUCGAUAAUUACGUGGGCUGAUCUAGAAAGGCAGUUUCACAAAUACUUCUACGCGGGGAUACAUGAGAUGAAGCUGUCUGAUUUAACCAGCCUCAGACAGAGAAGUGACGAGCCGAUAUCCUUAUAUGUGCAGUGGUUCAGGGAGAUCAGGAACAAGUGCUACUCCCUAGCCCUGACCGAUGCACAAUUGGCCGACAUAGCCUUCCAGGGUCUCCUCCCUCAUAUCAAAGAAAAAUACGCUUCGCAGGAGUUUGAGAGCUUAAGCCAAAUCGUCCACCGAAUGUCUGGUCAAGAAGUACGCCCUUUUGAUCCACGAAGGAACUUCCAGAAAAAGGUGGCAUACUUAGAAGAGGUUGAAACCGAAGAAGAAACACAGAUCGGCCUUGCGGAAUGGAUUAAAGGGAAAAAACCAAUAUCGUGUCCAUUCGGAAAAAAGGAACUGGAAACGUUCGGAUUUGACACAUCAAAGGCCGAUAAAAUCUUCGAUCUUCUUCUCCAAGAAGGACAGAUCAAACUGUCGCCAUACCACACGAUCCCAUCGGCCGAACAGCUGAAGAAGAUGAAAUAUUGCAAGUGGCAUAACACCACCUCCCACGAUACAAAUGAAUGCAAAAUCUUCCGACAACAGAUACAAUCGGCCAUCGAGCAAGGCAGACUCAAGUUUGAAGUCCCAACAAAGCCGGCCAAGCCGAUGAAGAUCGACCAGCACCCCUUCCCCACCAACAUGGUUGACACAGGGAAGAACUCGCUCCAGACCAAGGUGCUGACAUCUGAGUCAGCUAAGAAAAGCGGCGCCAUAGACCCCAGGAAUCAAGCGACACCCGAAGACGUCAAGGGGAAACAGCGGAUGGAGGACGAUGACGAUGAAUCGGGAGAACCACGUAGGCCCAUCACUUCCCAAUUUCUGCUCAACAAAUAUCAACGGCAACAUGAAUGCUCAAGAUCCCGGGAAGAGGUGAUGCAGCGACAUGAAGAUCACUGGCGAUACCCGUUCUUCAUCCACUAUUGGGAAAGCAACCUCAGGUUGCCAUCGGCCGAUAAUUGCCCUGAGUGCAACGGCCCGUAUCAUAACAAUCGGCCGUUCAGGAGGUCUCGCUCCAGAGAUGGAAGACCAGAGCCGAUCAGCAGGAACUGGCGCGAACAAGAAGACCGGCGCCCUCCAGUGCGUGAUCGGCUGGGGGGCAGAAGUGACCGAUAUGACCGGUCGGAAGACAGGCGCGAGCGGAACGAUAGGCCGGGGGGCAGAUUCGAUCGACACAACCAGCCAGAAAACAAGGUUAGCGUUCACGAUCGACUUGAAGAGAUGGCCGAUGCUCGGGUAUCAGACGAGAACCCCUUAGGACGCGAACCAGAAUGGGAACGCGCCAGGCCACGAACCAAACCAGUGAACCCCAGGUGGUGCCCUGAUGGAUUAACCAAGUCUCAAAAAUGAAGAAUCCAAUGUCUCCGCCAGUGGGAACAGCAGGAAGAAGAGCAACAGCAUACGGCGGACGAGAAAAACGACAGGUCUCAGGUAUGGCGCCCCAAAAGAAACGACAGGGGAGACGUCGAAUCAGCAGCCGACAUCGGCAUGGUUUUCAUACUGCCGAUGGAAUUCAUGACUCCUGCCGACCGACAGAACAUGUCGGCAAUAGAAGAGCAGAUGGCACAAUUGGCUUUGGAGCCAAUGACAGCCACGUUCGAGAAGCCCGAAGAUGACAAAUGACAACACCUGAAGGCCUUGUUCCUUAAAGGGCAUGUCAACGGCCGACCCAUCACCAGAUUACUAGUAGACAGAGGAGCUGCGGUUAACAUCAUGCCGUACUCCAUGUUCCGGAAGCUAGGGAAGAGUGAUGACGACCUGACCAGGACAGAUAUGAUGCUCAAGGACUUCGAAGGCAACGUGUCCCCCGCCCGCGGCGCACUCUGCGUCGACCUCACCAUCGGCAGUAAGACCCUUCCUACUACUUUCUUUAUUAUUAAUGGCAAAGGGUCCUACAACAUGCUACUUGGCCGAGACUGGAUACAUGCAAAUUGCUGCAUCCCGUCUACGAUGCACCAAUGCCUCGUACAAUGGGUCGGCGACAACAUUGAGGUGGUCACCGCCGAUUCCGCAUACAGCGUCGCGGCAGCCGAUACGCAGCAAUGGAGCUGCGAGAACGUCAAGUGCAUAUCCGGGAGGAUAUGGGACACUGAUUUCCUGAAGGUGUCCGAUUUUGGCCUACAGCCGAUCCGAGCAGUCGGCUCUGAAGAUUCAGACUAAAUGGAUCAGUUCGCCCGGGAAGAUGGAAAGCUAGGACACGGCUUCACGUCGGCCGAUUCAUUAGAAAUGAUAGACUUAGGCGAUGGCACCAAACCAAGGCCGACGUAUAUUAGUGCAAAUUUGGAUCCAGAAUACAAAUGUAAAUUGACAAAUUUAUUAAGAGAAUUUAAGGAUUGCUUUGCUUGGGAAUACCAUGAGAUGCCCGGAUUAGACCGAUCUAUUGUCGAACAUCGGUUACCCAUAAAGUCAGGGUAUGGACCGUAUCAACAGCCUGCACGGCGGUGUAAUCCUAAAAUCCUACCUGAUAUAAAGGCUGAAAUAACGCGGCUAAUCGAAGCAAAAUUUAUUCGGCAAUGCCGUUAUGCCGAAUGGAUCUCCAACAUUCUACCCGUAUACAAGAAGAACGGAAAGCUCCGCGUAUGCGUCGAUUUCAGGAACCUCAGUCAGGCCACGCCAAUGGACGGAUACCCCAUGCCAACAGCCGAUGUGCUGAUAGAUGCCGCCGCGGGACACAAGGUUAUUAGUUUUAUGGAUGGAAACACUGGAUACAAUCAGAUACUAAUGGCCGAAGAAGACAUAUCCAAAACGGCCUUCAGAUGCCCGGGUCACCUUGGUUUAUUCGAGUGGGUGGUAAUGACUUUCGGUUUGAAAAACGCCGGCGCUACGUAUCAGCGAGCCAUGAAUUACAUAUUUCAUAAACUUAUCGGCAUACUGGUAGAAAUUUAUAUCGACGAUGUCAUAGUCAAAUCAAAAGGACACCAGGAGCAUCUAGCCGAUUUGCGGCAGGUACUGGAAUGCACGAAGAAACAUGGGCUGAAGAUGAACCCGAAUAAGUGUGCCUUCGGUGUAUCCGCCGGACAAUUCUUAGGAUUCAUGGUUCAUGAGCGGGGAAUAGAAAUCAACCGGAAGACCAUAGCGGCCAUCAAUAAAGUCGUGGCCCCGCAGAAUAAGACUAAGUUGCAAUCUCUAAUCGGCAAGGUGAAUUUCAUCAGAAGAUUCAUAUCUAAUCUGUCUGGGCGUAUCCAAGCCUUCACACCAUUGUUAAAGUUGAAGCCCGACCAAGAUUUCGUAUGGGGAGAAGAGCAACGCAAGGCACUAGAAGAUAUCAAGCAGUACUUAGUCUCACCACCAGUAUUGGUCCCACCUCAAAUUGGUAAGCCGUUUAAACUAUAUUUAUCAGCCGAUGAACAAGCUAUCGGGUCGGCUCUGGUCCAGGAGUUCGAGGGAAAGAAACGGGUAAUAUAUUAUGUCAGUAGAAGAAUUCUGGAUGCCGAAACAAGGUAUCCCCCAGUAGAGCGGCUAUGCCUAUGCCUUUACUUCUCAUGCACCAAACUCAGGCAUUAUUUGCUAUCGGCAGAGUGUGUAGUCGUAUGCAAAGACGACGUGGUAAAAUACAUGCUGUCAUUGCCGAUUUUGAAAGGACGAAUCGGAAAGUGGAUCUUGGCUUUAUCGGAAUUCGAUCUUCGAUAUGAAUCGGCAAAGGCCGUCAAGGGUCAGGUCAUGGCCGAUUUCGUUGCCCAGCACUGCGGACCAGAGGCUACCUUCGUGGAACUAGUGCCAUGGACCUUAUACUUUGAUGGUUCAUCAUGUGGGGCCGGAUCAGGAAUCGGUAUCGUCCUCAUAUCGCCUCGGGGGGCAAGCUAUGAUUUCUCUCUACCGAUAGAAGCAUCCGCCACUAACAAUCAAGCAGAGUACCGAGCUGUGUUGAAGGGGUUACAAUUAUUGAGGGAAGUCAAGGCUGAUGCUGUUGAAAUUUUUGGGGAUUCCAUGCUUAUCGUGGACCAAUUAACAGGAAGGUCCGAAUGCAAGGAUGAUGUGUUAAGGAUUUAUUACGAGGACUGCCUGCAGCUUCUGAAAGAAUUCAAGUCCGCGGUUAUUGAGCACAUCCCUAGGAAUCACAACAAGGAUGCCAACAAGCUCGCCCAACAUGCAUCCGGAUAUCAGCCGAUUCAAGGCGCCAUGUCUCUAGAACUUGCGGCCGAUGACUGGCGAAAAGAGAUCGCCGAUUACCUGAAAGAUCCAUCUAAGAAAGUGGAUCGGCGGAUACGAUUUCAGGCUACAAAAUAUGUGUUACUAGAAGACGACUUGUUCUACCGAACGAUUGAUGGCGUCCUACUCAAGUGUCUAGGAACAGAGGAGGCGAAGACUCUGAUGGGAGAAAUCCACGAAGGAGUGUGUGGGGCCCACCAAUCGGCACAUAAGAUGAAAUGGAUGAUUAGGAAUAAUGGUACUACUGGCCGACAAUCCUCGAAGACUGCUUCAAAUAUUAUAAAGGAUGCCAAGAUUGUCAGAAAUACGGGAAUGUCCAACGUGCGCCCGCAUCGGCCAUGAAUCCUAUUAUCAAACCGUGGCCGUUGAGAGGUUGGGGAAUAGACCUCAUCGGGCAAGUUUAUCCUCCGUCAAGCAAAGGACACAAAUUCAUUCUAGUAGCCACAGAUUAUUUCACCAAAUGGGUGGAGGCGAUUCCGCUAAAAGCCGUGACAUCGGUCGCUAUGGUUGACUUUGUAAGGGACCAUAUCGUCUACCGUUUCAGCAUUCCCCAGACUAUCACGACCGAUCAAGGAACGAUGUUUACAUCAGGAGAAUUCGAAGAGUUCACGGCUGAUAUGGGAAUCAAAUUGCUAAACUCCUCUCCGUACUAUGCCCAAGCUAAUGGUCAGGCCAAAUCUUCCAACAAAGGGAUAAUUAAGUUAAUCAAGAGGAAGAUAGAAGAACAGCCGAAAAAGUGGCAUUUAUGUUUGACCGAGGCCCUGUGGGCAUAUAGGAUGGCUUGCCACGGGGCCACCAAGAUGUCCCCUUAUCAGUUGGUGUACGGUCACGAGGCAGUACUGCCGUGGGAAUUGAGGACAGGAUCGAGACGUACUUCGCUCCAAGAUCAGUUGACGGCCGAUGAUUACUCCUCACUCAUGAAAAGGGAACUUGAUGACUUGGCAGGCCAACGAUUGAGAGCUUUGAUCAGUAUUGAAGAAAACAAGAAGAAAGUGGCCAGAUGGUAUGAUAAGAAGGUCAAGGUCAAGCAGUUCUCUCCGGGGGACCUGGUAUGGAAGUUAGUGCUGCCGAUCGGGUCAAAGGAUCCUAAAUUUGGUAAAUGGUCCCCUACGUGGGAAGGGCCGUAUAAAAUCGGCCGAUGUGCUCCAGGAAAUGCUUACAUUCUGGAAACGAUUGAAGGAGAAGAGUUUACUAGGGCUUUGAACGAAAGAUACUUGAAAAGGUACUACCCUAGUAUAUGGGUCGGAGCAUAAGGAUCGACCAUGAUAAACAAACACACAGCCGAUACAAGAAAAAUCUCCUAAAGAGAAAACAUAAUCGUCCAAAUCGGCCAAUUUAUUAUUCGGUAUGAACGAUGGGUUACACGGCCGACGCAGUACAAGUCGCCCUUAGAACAAAAAAUAAUUAACCAUGCUUCUUCUUAAGUUCUCUCUCGACCCGACCUAGUUCUAUCAGAAGACGGAUGUGCCGUUCUUCUAUAUCUUUCAUCGCAACUUCCACUUCAACUUGACGGGGAAGAGGAUGACUCCGGUCCACUGCCGGACGAGAUGUCCCUGCCACUGCAUCUUCAAGAGCAAUUUGACGGGGAAGCGGAUGACUCCUGUCGGCUCGAGGUCGCCUGUGGUCGUCGCCAUCGAGGAAGUCCCAGAUCCGUUGGACAUCGGUAGGGACGUGCUCCUUGAGUUCUUCACGAUGAGCCCUGAUUAGAUCCUUGUCUUCUUGUGACAAUGGUUCGUCGGAGUACACGAGCCCGAUGGCUCGUUCGAGUUCAGGGCUAAGGCGCCGCGGCUGGGAAAAGAGGCAAUAUAUAACCGCCGAAGAUGAGAUUUUUUCAGAGGAAUCAAACUGAGAGAAAAGGCGGAGGCAGGUCUCUUACCUGGUUAACAGAGGAAAAAGAAGAGGAUGAAGAAGACAUGACUGCAGAGCGUGCCGACGGAAACAAGUCAGGGAAAGAGAAAAUCGACUUAAACGGGUGCUCUCAAAAGUGAAACCAAGGCCGGUAUUUAUAAGUGAAGAAAGCGUGGAUGUUUGGUAAGAUGCGUCCCAUCAGAAGUAAAAAGGGUAAUAAAUAAGAGAGCGCCGCGAAGGACAGUCAAAGAAGGCAUUAAUGUUCGUACAAAACUACCAGUACUUUUACAGGUCGCCCAGAAGGGCGUUGAUAGCCGCAAUCGCUCGACGCCGGAUCUGAUCGGCUGAGUCCAGGACCCGUUGGUCAUCCUCUGCUGAUCCCGGGACUUCUGACAUGUGGCGGUGGAGUUUAAGGGCUUCGUGAGCCAGAUGCUGCCUCUCCCGCUUCAAAUUGGCGAUGACGAACGGAAGUUCCUUAAGCCUCUUCUCUUCGGCGGCUAUUUCCUUGGUCACUUGCUCCAUUUCCUUGGCAAGUUCUGCUCUUCGGCGUUUGAGGCGGUCUAUCGUGCCGACGAUUCCAAGGCGAGAGUCCUCCAGAAAAUGAAUCCAUUGAUGCACCUCUUGAGCCUGACGCUUGUACAAAUCUUCUUCUUCACGAGUCUUGGUCAGUUUGGCGCGAUCGGUCAUGUGACACAGAGCCCUGAAGACCAGAAUCCGCAUUGACUCAAUAUAAGUGGCCGGCGCCAAGGCUUCUUCUGCCUCUUCCGGUACUCGCCCGCUGACGUCACCAAAGAGCUGCCGAAUCGGCGAGGCAUCUUCUACCAAUCGGCCGAUGUCCUCUUGAAGAAGGGAUCGUAUGCUUUCAAGCUUGGCACGGACAUCGUCAGGAACGAAGCUCAAAGUGACCUGACGGGAAGCAACUUCCUCGUCAUCAGAAAGUGCGACCACAAACGAGAAAAGACUGUUAUUAGGGGUGUCCUGUUCCUGUAAAAUAAUAAAUGAAAAGAGAACAAGUCAGCCGAUGGUAGUAGCAAAUCGGCCAAUUAAGGGUGGGAGAUCUCUUACCUCCUUAAAACGGAUUUCUUCCAGCUGCGUUUGCGAGACCGUCACCCUCGACUCUUGGACUGGCGCCAUUGGCUCAUCGGAAGAAGAGGACUCAACGACAAUUGGCGCUCUGCUCGGGCCAGCUUCUUGAAGGAUGGCCAAUGGCUGAUCAGGCAAUGCGCUUAGUGUGCCGGUAACCUGUGUCAAAGUUAAUAAGAGCAUCAUCCAAAUACUAGAAGAUCGGGUUGAAGGAUCGUAUACCUCAACAGGAGGAAGCGCUGGCAUUUCAUCGACCGCUUGGGUUACUGUCGAUUGCUGAGGGUUCACAAGGGUAGUCUGUGCAGUCUAAUAUAAGAGGAGUCAGUAUGGAGAUAGCGAUCGGGAAGAUCGGACAAUAAGUACCUGCAUAGCCUCCACCAAUAAUGACGCAGCGGCUGCUCUGGCUUCUAUGGCGACUUGAAUGUCUACCUCUUCAGAGUCGGAAGGGUCGACGCGGCCAAAGUUUCUGCCAAUGUAAUCAUGGGUGGAUCGGCCGAUUCUAUACGAGCACGCACUCGGCGACUGGUCUUCUUGACAACUUUCUUCUGCGCCUGUUUCACUCGACCGGCGAUGACGUCCACAGAAGGGGCAUGAUAGCCGAUGAGGGGGAAUGUGGUAUAUGGAUAACGGUCCUCUAUCGACCGACCACUCCGGCUGCGUUUUGGGGGAACGCGGUUUUCAGACUGAGUCAACAGCAAGAGUUAGUAUAUAUGUGUAAAAGAUAAUACUAAUAAGUGGAAAUGAAAAUCAGCCAGGGAAAAGAAGAGUACCUCGGCGUUCGGAUCGAUGUUGGCUGGAUCCAGGAGGUUGCAGUAUGUCGAUGCAGAAGUGCAGAACAGGUACUGUUUCCAUUCGGCCCACCAUAGCUUGAAUUGCUGAACGGCGAAAGGGGCUACUAUCCAUUCAUUCAGGUCUAUGGUACUAGAGUCUGGAAUCCGAUCUCGCAGCUGAUUAUAGUCAAGACCCUUGGUGAGUUCAUCUCUGAACUUUGCUCGACCGGCGAAGUAUGCAUGAAUCGGCAAUUGACCCAUGCCGAAUUGCCGUGCUGCGACGGAGGGGUUGUAGAACUCAUAAGUAGGAGCAUCCUUCCCCGAGAAGAAGUUUGCCGGUAAGAUUCCCGAUUUGAUUAAUUCGUCUGUGAGGUCUUCAUCGAAUCGGCUAGUAGUUGAGUCAAAACAAGAAGGGAGCUCAAAGAUCGGGUCAUCCCUCUGAUAGGGGAACCAACUGGUCGCGUCUUCGCUGAAGCCGUUAUAAAAACACCUGAAAUAUUCGGCCACCUUGGUAACAGAGUAUGAGCAACCAGAAACGGCCGAUGCUGCUUCGCCGAAAGAUGUACAUCGGCGUCGGACAGUGGGGUUCUCUGCCGAUUCGAUGUUAGGGAAUGUCAUGUGCUCCACUCGCUGCUUAGAGAUCUUGCUCAUGUACAGGUUAAGCCAUAAGUUGAUAAACCACCAGGGCCCACCAGGGUUUCCAAUCGGCUCCCCUUGGGAUAAUUUAACGCCAAUUUGGUGGAGCAUAUGAUAGGCUGCCCCCAGUAGGUGCUUUCCAAGGGGAACAGAAGCCCCUGUCGAUAAUGCCUCGGCCAAAGCCUGUGUGUUGGUGGAUGGACCAGCUGCUCUCCCACAGAAGAAAUGUUUCUCUAGCCACAUCAUCAGGAAAGCCGUGUGCUCUCUGUUCUCAACUGAUCCGGCCCGUUUGUUGCAUCUGAUGAAUCCCUUCCAUCCGCCGAUUCCCUUUGUGUCCAGCCGAUGAGAUGUCGUGGUCAAAAGGUGAAAAGGGGUGUCCGGAGAGGAAAUGUCAAGGCCGGUCAACAAGACCACAUCGACCAAGGUGGGGGUCAUGGGUCCGUGUCCAAAGAGGAAUGCAUUGACAGCAUCGGACCAGAAGUAAGAGGCUGCUAUCACUAAUGGCUCAUUUCUUUCCAUUUGGGACAAAGAUAGAUCGAUGCACUGGCUGAUUUUACGCUCAUCCCAUUGGACCCUCUUAGAAGCGGCUAUCUGUUGGUACCAUUCCCUCCAGCCGGGGGUUUCAUUCGGCCAUGACCUGAAGGUACCCGACCAAUGAUCUAGGUCCAUAGUUGAUUGCUUAAAAGGGAUUCUAUGGGUUUCCAAAUUGAUUAAGUCGGUUGGAUCUGGGUUUCCCAUGGGACCAAGGCAGAUAAGGCCGGGAGUUUCUGAAAGGCGAAUGGUAAUCUGAUGCCUAACCGCCUAAAGAAGCAAAAAGGGGGUGCAGAAGUAAGAAUAGAUCUAAAGUAAAUGCAUUACUGUUAAGGAAAGUUUCGGUAAUGACCUCCGGGAUGAAGCUCAUCGUAGUCGGCGGGAUCGCUAGUGGAGCUGCAGAUGAUGAAGCCGCCAAUGGGAUUUCUGUUGGAGCCCCAACUCCUGCUGAUGAGGUUCCUUCUCCCGUCGAUGGAGUCGCCGCCGUUGCCGCUGGAAUUUCCGCCGGUGGAGCCAGCUCCGGAGCUUCGGGCGUUGGUGAGGUGCCUGAAGGUGUCGCCAUUGGAGAAGUAUGGGGAAUGUAGAUGGAAGGAGAUGCCGGGGAAAAGCUGGAAGCUAAGGAUGGCGCCGGAGGAAGAAGAAGGCCCGUGCACUAAAGGGGGAGGACGUGAGCUCGUAAGGGAAGUACGGGACGUCCUGAUAUUUAAAGGUGGUCUGAGAAGGGGUAAAAGCGGAAUUUUUACCGCGCCGGCGUUUCGAUUUUUUCGGGAGGAGUGGUUGUCGUGGGCGCCCGUUUCAAAAAGAUUGCAAUCAUCAGGCUGGAGUGCGUUUGUUUCAGAAGGGAAGUUGAAAAGAAUUUCGAAGUAAAGACUAUGUUUUACUCUGAAACUGGGGGGCAUGUGUUGACGCCAGAUUUUGACACGUGUAAAAUCAGCGUUAGGGAAGGAAGAAAUCAGAAGAUGCGGCGAGACACAGGGGUGAUGGUUGGAAAUCGGCCGAUUGGUGCUACAGUCGAGGAUUGGCCGAUUAGCCUUUGGAGUUCUGCCUCGGCCGACCCCAAGUCCUGGGAUCGGAUGCGCCCGACCCUCCGAGGGAGGAUCUCCAACUCGCUCGACCUUAGGUCCCAGGGUCGGAGUAGUCGGAGCCCCCAACAUGUGGGCCCUAAUCGGCUAUCCCUUGCCGAUGAAGUGGGUAGAAAUCGGCCGAUUGGGAGGCUGGAGCGAUUGGGCCGGUAUGGGCUUAAAGAAGAUUAUGAAGAUAAAGAGGGAGUCAGCUUAUGAGAGCAUGAUGAUCGACUCCAGUACGAGUCGUACUUGUAAAUAUUCGUUUUCAUUUAAAAUUAGAGAUAGAGUUCUAGUCGGUUAGGAAAUCAUUUGUAACAGGCUAUAAAUAGCCACCUUCAUAGAUCUAUAAUCAUCAUCAAAUCAAUACAACAAACUACUAUUUCCUCGUACUUACUUUCGAGCCGACGACUUCGCCAAUACUUUUCUUCUUUUUCACGAGUUCGUAUGGGUUGGCGGGGCUGCAUCAACUUGACCUCCGGCCGAUCUUGUAAGUUCCGCUUAUCGAAUAGUUUCUAAGCUUUAACUUCGGGCGCAUCGCUGUCGUUUCGUUUAGAUUUAUUCACCAGUUAUCGAUAUUCACUAGAAUUCUAGGUUUUACCUGUUGUUCUAGUUUUAUCACCAGUUAUCCAGCUAGGAAUUGGAACCUUCGGCUUUCCUGUACUUUGUUAUUUAAUCUAUUCGUUUUACGCAUAGCCGAUUAGAUCUGUUCCUAGUGUCGUUACUGUAUCGUUGUUUAGAUUACUCCAGCAGUCUUCUUUAUUAACGUUGCUCGGUAAUCGGCUGCAUUAUAGCCGAUUUCUUUAUUACAGCAAAUCAGCCGAUUCGCUGAUAAGCUAUCUCGAGAUCGGAACCUUAGCCGAUCGCAACCUCUGGGAUCUGACACGUUUCUUUCCUUGCCAAUCAACAGGUCAGAUUGGCUGGCACGCCGCGCGAACCGCACCAGGGCGAUCACCCGAACAGGAGUUAAGCAGAUUCUCCCGGGUCGUGUGUCCGACGCUAGGAAUUCGAUCAGCCGAUUUCUAGUGCCAAUAUAUUCAUGUGUAGUAAAAAAUCAAUUACAUGAAGAAAAGAAUAUUACUAUGUUAGGAAUUGAUCCUUUGCUUCAAUCGCCUUGUGGCAAAGCCAAAGAUGGCAUUAGUGAAGUGAAAUCCGGGAUAACGAGUCAAAGGUGGCUCCUUGAAUAUGUAGUGUCCCCUACCACGUCCACGACCACCACGACCACAGCGGCCACCUCCAUGGCUGCCACCACCACGGGGAAAAGAACUUUCACUUGCCAUAGUUAGCCCCAGCUAUCCAAAUAAAAUUGUAAUAAGAUAUAGGUGGUUCCACAAACAUCAGCUUCAAUGAUAAUUAUGCCCAAAACAUCAUAAUUCACGAAAUGCUCAGAAUAAAAGGUUGUCCAAAAUAAUGGAAAAAGGUAACAAUUAUCAUGUUGCAAUUGCAUGGAUUAAAAAUGGAAAAAAGGUAACAAUUAUAUCCUUGAGCACAAAAAUGAUAUAUAUUGUAAAAAAAUAAAAAGGAAACCAUUAUUGUCCUAAAAUUGAUAAUAGAGAAGCAUCAAAUUUAACAAUCGAAUACAUAUUUAAGGUUUGUCUUGUCAAUCCAUUUUCCUUAAUGAAUUUACUUAAAAAAAAAA